rnacentral:rRNA from 1 species
UACGGAGGGGGGCUAGCGUUGUUCGGAAUUACUGGGCGUAAAGCGCGCGUAGGCGGCUUUGUAAGUUAGAGGUGAAAGCCCAGGGCUCAACCCUGGAAUUGCCUUUAAGACUGCAUCGCUUGAACAUCGGAGAGGUAAGUGGAAUUCCGAGUGUAGAGGUGAAAUUCGUAGAUAUUCGGAAGAACACCAGUGGCGAAGGCGACUUACUGGACGAUUUGUUGACGCUGAGGUGCGAAAGCGUGGGGAGCAAACAGG